CUAGGGGUUUCUGGAAGAUUCAAUGUGGGAUAUUGAAUGUUGGGCUUAGCAUUUGGGCUGUUUGUAUUGGGUCAUUGGGUUUAGGUUAGGUUUAGUUGGGCCAGGCAUUUUGGGUUUGUAUUUUUUUUAUAAUUUAGACUGUUUAUUGUUUUUUUUAUGUUUAUUUAUUUGGGCCUGGGCAUAUUUGGGCUUGUACAGCUGCCCCUCUUUGCUCAUUGUCGUGUAACGGAAUGAAGCAAAGACUUUAACAGAGCCAAAUUUGCCCGGUUUUGUCAAGUCUUGAUUUCUUUGAUGCCUCCCUUCUUUAAG
rnacentral:lncRNA from 1 species